UACGGAGGAUCCAAGCGUUAUCCGGAUUUAUUGGGUUUAAAGGGUGCGUAGGCGGCUUUUUAAGUCAGGGGUGAAAGACGGUGAGCUCAACCUAUCGCAGUGCCUUUGAUACUGAUGAGCUUGAAUGAACUAGAGGUAGGCGGAAUGUGACAAGUAGCGGUGAAAUGCAUAGAUAUGUCACAGAACACCGAUUGCGAAGGCAGCUUACUAUGGUUUUAUUGACGCUGAGGCACGAAAGCGUGGGGAUCAAACAGG
rnacentral:rRNA from 1 species